AGAGUUUGAUCAUGGCUCAGAUUGAACGCUGGCGGCAUGCCUUACACAUGCAAGUCGAGCGGCAGCGCGGGGGCAACCCUGGCGGCGAGCGGCGCACGGGUGAGUAAUGCAUCGGAACGUGUCCUCUUGUGGGGGAUAACCAGUCGAAAGACUGGCUAAUACCGCAUGAGAUCGAGAGAUGAAAGCAGGGGACCCGCAAGGGCCUUGCGCGAGAGGAGCGGCCGAUGCCCGAUUAGCUAGUUGGCGGGGUAAAAGCCCACCAAGGCGACGAUCGGUAGCUGGUCUGAGAGGACGACCAGCCACACUGGGACUGAGACACGGCCCAGACUCCUACGGGAGGCAGCAGUGGGGAAUUUUGGACAAUGGGGGCAACCCUGAUCCAGCCAUGCCGCGUGUGUGAAGAAGGCCUUCGGGUUGUAAAGCACUUUCGGACGGAACGAAAUCGCACGAUCUAACAAGUCGUGUGGAUGACGGUACCGUAAGAAGAAGCACCGGCUAACUACGUGCCAGCAGCCGCGGUAAUACGUAGGGUGCGAGCGUUAAUCGGAAUUACUGGGCGUAAAGUGUGCGCAGGCGGCUAAGCAAGUCGAGUGUGAAAGCCCCGGGCUUAACUUGGGAAUUGCGCUCGAAACUACUUGGCUGGAGUGUGGCAGAGGAAGGUGGAAUUCCACGUGUAGCGGUGAAAUGCGUAGAGAUGUGGAGGAACACCAAUGGCGAAGGCAGCCUUCUGGGCCAACACUGACGCUCAUGCACGAAAGCGUGGGGAGCAAACAGGAUUAGAUACCCUAGUAGUCC
rnacentral:rRNA from 1 species